GACGAACGCUGGCGGCGUGCUUAACACAUGCAAGUCGAACGCUGAAGCUCAGCUUUUGUUGGGUGGAUGAGUGGCGAACGGGUGAGUAACACGUGAGUAACCUGCCCCCUUCUUUGGGAUAACGCCCGGAAACGGGUGCUAAUACUGGAUAUUCACUGGUCUUCGCAUGGGGGUUGGUGGAAGGGGUUUUUCUGGUGGGGGAUGGGCUCGCGGCCUAUCAGCUUGUUGGUGGGGUGAUGGCCUACCAAGGCUUUGACGGGUAGCCGGCCUGAGAGGGUGACCGGGCACAUUGGGACGGAGAUACGGCCCAGACUCCUACGGGAGGCAGCAGUGGGGAAUAUUGCACGAUGGGCGCAAGACUGAUGCAGCGACGCCGAGUGAGGGAUGGAGGCCUUCGGGUUGUGAACCUCUUUCGCUAAUGGUCAAGCCGCAACGAUGGUUGUGGUGAGGGUAGUGGGUAAAGAAGCGCCGGCUAACUACGUG
rnacentral:rRNA from 1 species